UGGGGAAUAUUGGACAAUGGGCGAAAGCCUGAUCCAGCCAUGCCGCGUGUGUGAAGAAGGUCUUCGGAUUGUAAAGCACUUUAAGUUGGGAGGAAGGGCAUUAACCUAAUACGUUAGUGUUUUGACGUUACCGACAGAAUAAGCACCGGCUAACUCUGUGCCAGCAGCCGCGGUAAUACAGAGGGUGCAAGCGUUAAUCGGAAUUACUGGGCGUAAAGCGCGCGUAGGUGGUUUGUUAAUUUGGAUGUGAAAGCCCCGGGCUCAACCUGGGAACUGCAUCCAAAACUGGCAAGCUAGAGUACGGUAGAGGGUGGUGGAAUUUCCUGUGUAGCGGUGAAAUGCGUAGAUAUAGGAAGGAACACCAGUGGCGAAGGCGACCACCUGGACUGAUACUGACACUGAGGUGCGAAAGCGUGGGGAGCAAACA
rnacentral:rRNA from 1 species